GUGUGCGGCCUCAUGAUGAGGCUUGCAGGAUCUCAACCGCUGGUCGGGCCGCCAGUG
rnacentral:ncRNA from 1 species